rnacentral:piRNA from 1 species
UGGAACUCCAUUAUGAAGCUAAUCAUUGCUU